CUGGUAGAAUCCUCCCUGUCAAGAGGCCCAUUUUCAUCAAAAUCAUUUUACCCUUAUUGGGUAACCCCCACACAGAAACUGUAAAUGUAUUUUUUACAUGAAAUAUUUGUAUGAACAUUUGAAUAACUUUAACUUGAAAAGUCAGCUUGAUUACAUGUAAAUUAUCAUGAAACACAAAAAAUUGCACCUAGAUCUCUGCCUCUGAUUUAUCUACCCAUCUGUUUUAAUUUCAGAUGAUUAGUCUUGAGAGCACUAGAACACCUGAAACAUGCAAGAUUAAUCAGUCCUGCGAUGGAGUUAUUUAAAUGCUUUACCGUGAGGAUGGAUUCAAAUCAUCACUGAAGGUAAAAGCCCUCACAGACAUGAGGACACCAAAGUCCUUCAGAGCAUGGCCAUAGGAAAUGCUCGUCACCAU
rnacentral:lncRNA from 1 species